CUGCUCUUGCAGAUUACUUCUUAAAAUGGUCAUGCCUUGUCUGUCUGCUCCUCUUUAUGAAAACAGCAUUGGGUCUGAGGAACACUAACCUGUGUCUCUAGAAAAUUUGUUGAAAUCCAGAUUUUAGUUGUUUUGAUGGAGAUUCACUGAAUUCCAGAUGCAAACUGGAAUAAGGAAUGGAAAUUUCAGUUUCAGAGGCCUCACAUAGAGUACAGCUUCCAGCUGUGGAGUUCUCAGAACAGGAGAGACAUGGACCUGUUGCAGUGCAUCCAGAGCAAGGCCACAUAAAUGAUCCAUGGAAUGGAAUACCUCUCCUACAAGGACAUGCUGAAAGAGAUGGGGCUGUUCAGCCUGGAGAAGAGAAGGCACCAGGGUGACCUGACAGUGGCCUUUCAGAAUCUAAAGGGGAGCUACAGGACAGAAGUGGACAGAUGCUUUAGCAGGAUCUGUGGUGACAGAACAAGGGAAAAUGUUUCAAGCUUAAGGAAGGUAGAUGUAGGCUGGAUAUAAGGAAGAAGUCUUUUACAGUGAGGGUGGUGAGUCACUGGCACGGGCUGCCCAGACAAGUCUGGAAGCCAUGAGACUUUCAAGGCCAGGCUGGAGAGAACUCAGAGACUUGAUUGAGCAGUGGAUAUCCUUGUUCAUUGCAGGGGAGCGGGACUAGAUGACUUUUAAAGAUCCCUUGACACACUAUGAUUCUAUGAAUCUAUGUAACAUUAUUUUUUCUUCCAUGCAUCUCCAACAUUUUUCUAAGUUCUUAUGAAUUAUGUUUACUGCUAGUUUUGUAAGCAGUGAUCCUUUUUGUGUGACAACACUGAGAUUAUAAUGCUUGACAUUUCUAUUUGGAAUAUAUAUUUAUAUUCUUUCUACAUUUAUAAUUUGAAGAGUCUACUUUUUAACCAGCAAAACUUGACUGUAUGAUCACUUUGAAAAUGAGAAGAGAUAUGAACAAAUUCAGUCCCAUACUGUUCAUUCUUGAAAGACAACAAGAGAAACAUUCCUUUUCUGUAGAAUACUGAGAUGUAUGAUAUACAUCUUCUUGCUUAGUUUACAAAACUAGAUUCAUUAUUUUCCACAAGAAAUAGUGGAUAAUGUAACAUUUCUAUCAGUAAGUUGGUACCAUUGUAAAGAGAAAAGGAAUAGGAUCUACCUAUGUAACAAGAUGGAUAAGCGUUCCUAAUUCAGUAUCUGGUGGGUAUAAAUAGUGAACACCAUUUCUUGCCAUACUGUCAUGAAGAAAUAUUUCUGUGUGGUUUCUUACUUUGAAGAAGAUGAUCAGAAGAUGAAUUAGGGAAUCUUGCAACUGACAUCCUGAUCCUUCUCUUCCCUCUAGGAUUACUUGAGUAAAAUGAAAUGAGGAGACAUCGGGAAAGGUCUUACAAUGUUUUUUGAAGACUUGAGAGACAAAUACUGGGAGCCUCCUCUUUUGUUGGAAGUUUCUUCUUGUUUUAGUCAUGAUGCUGAAUCUGCAUCAUCUGAAGACAGUUUCCUUCAUUUAAUCUUAGUUAUGGUAGCUACUGAAUAAAAUGAAUAAAGUACUUGUCCAGGCAAAGAAGGGUUUUGUGCAUAUCCAAUCUUAGUAGUAAGUUUCAAAGAUUUUGUUGUAGAUACAUCAAAUAAGAAGGAAAAAAAACCAUGAUAUCUAUCAUGAUUAAGACAUUUUUUUCCCCCAGAAAUAAUAUCUAAAUUUUGCUAAGACAAAUAUCCUAUUGAUGGAGAAACCACAGACUCUUAAUAACAUACGUCUGUGUUUUUUUUCCUAGUUUGAAGAGAUCUUUAUAUUCAGACAAAAAAAUAAAUCUUUCUAUGUCUAUGCUAAAUGUAGGACUUCUUGCUAUCACAUUUCCAUUUCCUCUGUAGCUACCUGAAUACUAAAUAUCACCUUCACUCAAAACUGUCACAGUCAAGUUCAGGAGUAUUUUACUUAAUGUAUAACAGUGGCACUGAGUUAAGUUUUUUGUUUGUUUGUUUGUUUGUUUGUUUGUUUUUUGUCAUAUUCAUUUACUUGAUAACUUCAUGUUUUUUAAUGAACUGGAAGAUAUGCUUUUUUACCAUGUCAGCAGGUAAAUUGUAGAUUGUAACACAGUCAUCUCUUUAUUCAGUUAAGCACUGUGCUCGUUACCUGUUAGUAUAUAACACUAUAUAUAACAUAUAUAUAACAAUAAUCUUCAAAACAAGAAAAUAAGUGUACUGUUCAACAGAAGAAAUAUCUAACCAGGCAAACAGUAUCAUUUGUGAAUUUGUGAAUCUCUUUCUAGGAACAUCUAGGUUUUAAAACACAUUCUUCUUGGCUGAUGUUUGAAAGUACUGCUUCCUUUGUUAAUGAGUAGUGCUGCUGAUAGUUUCCUUCCUGCUUAUUGAGUGUAUUAAAAAGAUAUCCUGAGUACUUACAACCAGAUUGUUCUUUUUAUUAAGAUGUGAUUUCUACCAAAGUUGUCUUAAAGAAUAUUCAUACAAAUUCAUUCUAAAGAUCUUCUGAGUACCAACGAUGCUGAUAAGGAAAUGAGACAUUCUUCACACUAAAUGUUGAGCUGUUUGAGAUAAUUCUUGUCUCAAAACUAAGCAGAAAAUACUAGUAAAUGUCAAAAGAGAGAAAGAGAGUUCCUUUUUUUUUUUUUCUCUCUUUUUUCUUUUCUCUCCACGUAGAUUGUUUUGCUUGCUUUAUUCUUCUGUGUUCCAAGGAACUAUAAACUACAGCAAAUAGUGGCUAAAAGUUUAAUAUCAUUUGAUAGUAUGAGGUAAUCAAAAUAUUGUGCCCUGGUGUCCCAGCAGGCCAAGGGCAUCCUGACUUGUGUCAGAAACAGCAUGGCCAGCAGGGCCAGGGAAGUUGUUGUCCUUCUGUAUUGGAGAAGCUGAACGUGCACCUCAAGUACUGUAUUCAGUUUCGGGCAGAAGCCAUUUUAAUUAGACUGCCCCUCUACUGCCAUGCCACCAGUGUCUGCCUGUGACACUGUGGGCCAACAUAAUAAAAUAAGAGGCAUUACUUUCAGACCAUCCCAUAAAUUAUAUUCCUAAUAACCUGAAUAUGCCUUGGUGAUCUUGACAGAUUGGGAAGGGGGAUGCUGUAGUUUUAAUUUCUUUUUUUUUUUUCACUGCAGUAUCUUUCUUUGUAUAGAGGUUAAAAAAAAAAUGUAGAGGUGCUGAGGAAAGAAGAUAUAGAAGGAAAGCAAGAGCAAAUUAGAUUGUCCUGCUCCAGCCUGUCCCAAUAUAUGACAGUUGAUUAAAAUUUAUUCUGAAAGUUCAAAUGUAAUUUUGUUUAAUGUAACUUAUGUGACAAAGAUAAAACUACUUUAGUUGUUGAUUAUUUUUGAAAUAUGACCUUGAAAAAAUAUUCUCAAUAUAUACACAUCUUCUG
ensembl:lncRNA